CGAGAAAGGGAGCAAUCCUGAGUAAAGUGGCGUACGGGUGAGUAACACGUGGAUCAUCUACCUUUUAGUGGGGAAUACCCCCGGGAAACUGGGGACAAUACCGCAUAAGCUCGAAAGAGGAAAGCAGCAAUGCGCUGAAAGAGGAGUCCGCGGCAGAUUAGCUAGAUGGUGAGGUAAUGGCUCACCAUGGCGAAGAUCUGUAGCCGGCCUGAGAGGGCUCACGGCCACACUGGCACUGAAACACGGGCCAGACUCCUACGGGAGGCAGCAGUGGGGAAUCUUGCACAAUGGAGGAAACUCUGAUGCAGCGACGCCGCGUGAGUGAUGAAGCCCUUCGGGGUGUAAAGCUCUUUCGACAGGAACGAUAAUGACGGUACCUGAAGAAGAAGCUGCGGCUAACUACGUGCCAGCAGCCGCGGUAAUACGUAGGCAGCAAGCGUUGUUCGGAAUUACUGGGCGUAAAGAGUGUGUAGGCGGUGCUCUAAGUUUGGUGUGAAAUCUCCCGGCUCAACCGGGAGUCUGCAUUGAAUACUGGGGU
rnacentral:rRNA from 1 species